rnacentral:snRNA from 1 species
UUUUCUAGUAUAUAUAUAUACUGU